rnacentral:rRNA from 1 species
AUUGAACGCUGGCGGCAUGCCUUACACAUGCAAGUCGAACGGCAGCACGGGUGCUUGCACCUGGUGGCGAGUGGCGAACGGGUGAGUAAUACAUCGGAACAUGUCCUGUAGUGGGGGGUAGCCCGGCGAAAGCCGGAUUAAUACCGCAUACGAUCUACGGAUGAAAGCGGGGGAGCUUCGGGCCUCGCGCUAUAGGGUUGGCAGAUGGCUGAUUAGCUAGUUGGUGGGGUAAAGUCCUACCAAGGCGACGAUCAGUAGAUGGUCUGUGAGGGCGACCGGCCACACUGGGACUGAGACACGGCCCAGACUCCUACGGGAGGCAGCAGUGGGGAAUGUUAGACAAUGGGCGAAAGCCUGAUCCAGCAAUGCCGCGUGUGUGAAGAAGGCCUUCGGGUUGUAAAGCACUUUUGUCCGGAAAGAAAUCCUUGGCUCUAAUACAGUCGGGGGAUGACGGUACCGGAAGAAUAAGCACCGGCUAACUACGUG